rnacentral:rRNA from 1 species
CACGUAGGGCGCAAGCGUUGUCCGGAAUUAUUGGGCGUAAAGAGCUCGUAGGCGGCUUGUUGCGUCGACCGUGAAAACCCGUGGCUCAACUGCGGGCUUGCGGUCGAUACGGGCGGGCUAGAGUUCGGUAGGGGAGACUGGAAUUCCUGGUGUAGCGGUGAAAUGCGCAGAUAUCAGGAGGAACACCGGUGGCGAAGGCGGGUCUCUGGGCCGAUACUGACGCUGAGGAGCGAAAGCGUGGGGAGCGAACAGG